AGCGAACGCUGGCGGCAGGCCUAACACAUGCAAGUCGAACGGAUCCUUCGGGAUUAGUGGCGGACGGGUGAGUAACACAUGGGAACGUGCCCUUUGGUUCGGAAUAACUCAGGGAAACUUGAGCUAAUACCGGAUGUGCCCUUCGGGGGAAAGAUUUAUCGCCAUUGGAGCGGCCCGCGUCUGAUUAGCUAGUUGGUGAGGUAAAGGCUCACCAAGGCGACGAUCAGUAGCUGGUCUGAGAGGAUGAUCAGCCACAUUGGGACUGAGACACGGCCCAAACUCCUACGGGAGGCAGCAGUGGGGAAUCUUGCGCAAUGGGCGAAAGCCUGACGCAGCCAUGCCGCGUGAAUGAUGAAGGUCUUAGGAUUGUAAAAUUCUUUCACCGGGGACGAUAAUGACGGUACCCGGAGAAGAAGCCCCGGCUAACUUCGUGCCAGCAGCCGCCGUAACAC
rnacentral:rRNA from 1 species